AUGCCCCUAUCUGCAUGGUGUCCCUGCUGUCCAGGCUCCUGUCCCCAUGGUGUCCCCAUGGUCCAGGCUCCUGUCCCCAUGGUGUCCCCACGGUCCAGGCUCCUGUCCCCAUGGUGUCCUCACAGUCCAGGCUCCUGUCCCCAUGAUGUCCCUGCCGUCCAGGCUCCUGUCCCCAUGGUGUCCUCACGGUCCAGGCUCCUGUCCCCAUGGUGUCCCUGCCGUCCAGGCUCCUGCCCGUAUGGUGCCCCCACGGUCCAGGCUCCUGUCCCCAUGGUGUCCCCAUGGUCCAGGCUCCUAUCCCCAUGGUGUCCCCGCGGUCCAGGCUCCUGUCCCCAUGGUGUCCCCACGGUCCAGGCUCCUGUAUCCAUGGUGUCCCCACUGUCCAGGCUCCUGUCCCCAUGGUGUCCCCACUGUCCAGGCUCCUGCACCCAUGGUGUCUCCGUGGUCCAGGCUCCUGUCCCCAUGGUGUCCCCACGGUCCAGGCUCCUGUCCCCAUGGAGUCCCCACGGUCCAGGCUCCUGUCCCCAUGGAGUCCCCACAGUCCAGGCCCCUGUCCCCAUGGUGUCUCUGUGGUCCAGGCUCCUGUCCCCGUCGUGUCCCCGCCAUCCAGGCUCCUGUCCCCAUGGUGUCCCCACGGUCCAGGCUCCUGUCCCCAUGGUGUCCCCACGGUCCAGGCUCCUGUACCCAUGGUGUCCCCAUGGUCCAGGCUCCUGUCCCCGUGGUGUCCCCACAGUCCAGGCCCCUGCCCGCAUGGAGGUCCUGGGCUCCAUGCCACUGUCAGGGCACUGUCAGUGCUCCAUCCAUCUGCAUGCUGGGGGGCUCUGCAGCAGGUGCCUGUCCAGGGAGACCCGGCCUCCCACCCGUGUGCCUCUCGCUGGUGGGUUCCCUUCCCUGCAAGAAGCCCGGCUUUGCACCGAGCGGUUGACAGCAGCCGUCUCUGUGGGUUCGGGAAGGAGCUGGGCCUUCUGUCUGCCAGACAUGGAAGAGAACACACUCGUGUUGCUCGAACCCUUAACGUGGUGCCAGUGUACACACACAACACAGCCAGGGAGGCGGCAGGGCUGGGGUGCAGCCAGAGAGUGA
rnacentral:lncRNA from 1 species